rnacentral:rRNA from 1 species
AAAAGCGGAGGAAAAGAAACUAACAAGGAUUCCCCUAGUAGCGGCGAGCGAAGCGGGAAGAGCUCAAAUUUAUAAUCUGGCACCUUCGGUGUCCGAGUUGUAAUCUCUAGAAGUGUUUUCCGCGUUGGACCGCACACAAGUCUGUUGGAAUACAGCGGCACAGUGGUGAUACCCCCGUACACGGUGCGGACGCCCAGCGCUUUGUGAUACACUUUCAAUGAGUCGAGUUGUUUGGGAAUGCAGCUCAAAUUGGGUGGUAAAUUCCAUCUAAAGCUAAAUAUUGGCGAGAGACCGAUAGCGAACAAGUACCGUGAGGGAAAGAUGAAAAGCACUUUGGAAAGAGAGUUAACAGUACGUGAAAUUGUUGGAAGGGAAACGCUUGAAGUCAGACUUGCUUGCCGGAGCUUGCUUCGGUUUGCAGGCCAGCAUCAGUUUUCCGGGGUGGAUAAUGGUGGUUUGAAGGUAGCAGCCUCGGCUGUGUUAUAGCUUUCCACUGGAUACAUCCUGGGGGACUGAGGAACGCAGCGUGCUUUUUGCGAAGGUUUCGACCUUCACGCUAGGAUGCUGGUAGCGGCCGGA